AAAAAAGAACACAAAGCUGAAGAUAAAAAGGUCGGCUUCUCUGUGGUUUGAACUGAAAAACAUAAACUCCAACGGAUUGUUUUCUAUGAAACCCUGGAUGUUGGAGACAUGGGUGUUGACCUGCCAACCGCUUAUCAAAUUAACCUUCCCGCCCUGCAGAGAAAGGUCAUGGAGGGGCUUCAGCCGCUGUCUGCCUGACAAAAUGAGCUUUGUGGCGAUCAGAUACUGAACUGGAGCCAGCAGAACGAUGACUGAAGCCCCCACCAGAGCGCUCCAGCCCAGCAGCAGAGCUCCACGCAGGUUGAUGCCCGUUUCUAUGGUGACGUAGUAGGAGGCCUGAAGGAAAGUCCUCUGCAGGACCAAAGCCAGGAAGAGAAGAACCGAGAGGACUGAACUGUUCUGCAGGAGCUCAGUGGACGACAUGAAGUAGACUCCUAAAUACGUUUCCUACGAACACAAAAAACUGCUUUAAUAAAACACUCCUGAAAACA